rnacentral:rRNA from 1 species
UACGUAGGGUCCGAGCGUUGUCCGGAAUUAUUGGGCGUAAAGGGCUCGUAGGCGGUCUGUCGCGUCGGGAGUGAAAACUUACAGCUUAACUGUGAGCGUGCUUUCGAUACGGGCAGACUUGAGGCAUUCAGGGGAGAACGGAAUUCCUGGUGUAGCGGUGAAAUGCGCAGAUAUCAGGAGGAACACCGGUGGCGAAGGCGGGUCUCUGGGCCGAUACUGACGCUGAGGAGCGAAAGCGUGGGGAGCGAACAGG